UAAUUCACCUUCCUCCUCUGCCUCAA
rnacentral:misc_RNA from 1 species